rnacentral:lncRNA from 10 species
CCUAUCAGAUAUAUGAUUUGCAAAUAUCUUCUCUUAUUCCAUAAGGUUACUUUUUCACUUUGUUGAUUGUGUUCUUUGAUGUAUAGAAGUUUUUAGUUUUGAAAUAGUCUAAUUUAUCUGUUUUUACUUUUGUGGUCUGUGCUUUUGGUGUCAUAUCCAAGAAAUCCUUGCCAAAUCCAACGUUAUAAGGUACUUUUAAGGUAUUUUAGUUGUCUUAGUCUAUAUUUCUGUACUCACCUUUCUUUAUCCACUCAUCAGUUGAUGGGCAUGUAGGUUGGUUCCAUAUCUUUGCAAUUCUGAAUUGUGCUAUGAUCAGGUGUCUUUUUAGUAUAAUGAUUUACUCUCCUUUGGGUAGAUACCCAGUAGUGGGAUUGCUGGAUCGAAUGGUUUUUAUAAUUUUCUAUUUUACCACAGUUUCUCUCUGCAUUUUUCCUCUUUGACCACUAACCAUGUGAAAUUCUCAUAUUGACCUUUAUAAUGAUCAUGAACUCUUAGUAUCAUUGGGAAGGCCACAUUUGCCACUUAUGAUUGUAAACCUUAUCCUCCAUUUUUCCUGUUAUUGUUGGUGCAAAAAGCACCUAUUAUACCAGGACUUUAAAAAUCAGUCUGAUAAGUCUUUGAUAAGUCUAAUAAUAAUAACUGAUAAGUCCAUUGAAUUUGCUUCUGAUUACUUUUUCUUUAGUAGCUAAACAUGUAUGUACUCCUAUGAUUACAAUGAACACUCCUCUCCAUUUAAAUUAAUUAUUUACAUUGAUGAAAUAGCAAAAUGUUAAUGACUAAAUACUGUCUUGGUUUUUUCGUUCCAGGUCAGUCAAUAUUAACUUCUUAUAAUUUUCUUUUUUUUCUUUAUGUGUGUGUGUGUGUGUAUUUUUUUUUUUUUAAUUUCAAUGGCUUUUGGGGUACAAAUGGCUUUUGGUCAUAUAGAUGAAUUCUACAGUAGUGAAGUCUGAGAUUUUACUGCACCGGUCACCUGAGUAGUGUACAUUGUACCCAAUAUGUGGUUUUUUAUACCUUGCCCCCCUCUUACCCUCCCCACUUUGAGUCUCUAGUGUCCAUUAUGUCACUCUGUAUACCUUUUUGUACCCAUAAGUUAGCUCUCACUUAUAAGUGAGAACACACAGUAUUUGGUUUUCCAUUCCUGAGUUGCUUCACUUAGAAUAAUAUCCUCCAGCUCCAUCCAAAAUUGCUGCAAAAAAAAAAAAAA